rnacentral:rRNA from 1 species
UACAGAGGGGGCAAGCGUUAUUCGGAAUUAUUGGGCGUAAAGGGCGCGUAGGCGGCCUGGCAAGUGGAAGGUGAAAUCCCUCGGCUUAACCGAGGAACAGCCUCCCAAACUGCUUGGCUUGAGACCGGGAGAGGUGAGUGGAAUUCCCAGUGUAGCGGUGAAAUGCGUAGAUAUUGGGAGGAACACCAGUGGCGAAGGCGGCUCACUGGACCGGUACUGACGCUGAUGCGCGAAAGCGUGGGGAGCAAACGGG